AAUGAUUCUGUACAGUAUUAUGAAGAUAAAGUGUUGAGUCCUUCUUAUUGACACGCACACAGGAACGACUGGAGCCUAAACUUGUCCCUUCUAUUGCUCACGAGCACUCACCGUCUCUUAGAUACUGUUGCCGGGCAGAGCGUUCUCGGACAGCGCGAGCCCACUUCUCUGCCUCCUCCAGGUUAGCUCGAGCGUCCUGAAGCGACGCGAGACGAAAGCCCUGCUCCACUCUCUGCCGCGAGACCCCGGAACUCAUCCAGCGCCGUUUGAGCGGGUAGAAGUAGGCUGACAAGUACGCUGCCGUGUCUGAGUUGUCAUCCUCCCGGUAAGCCCGGCAGCCGACGCAGUCCUUCAGGCUCAGAACCACCUUGUUUCGCCCCACAGGUGUCGAAGUGAGCCUCUGGACGAUGAGGUCCUUUUCGGUCAAGCUCACGGCGCACCUGAGUUUUCGGUUACCGGUGACUGUAAACUCCCCGUAAAGCGAUACCGGGAUGUUACCGGUGUUGUGGUCCGGUUCAGCUCUCCUCUCAUCCAUUCUGAAGGGACGAGAGAGACUGAGACGCGGGGGGUCCGGGAUAAAGUGGCUGCCUCACUCUCACAUUGCUACCCGCCUGGAUGUUGCGAGUAAAGUGGAGACAACGAGCCUGCGACUGACAGCUCGAAGCUCAAACCGGUGUCAAGUGUGAAGAUACCAUAUACACUUAACUUCCGUUGUAUUUCAAAGUUCAACAGUUUUUCUCCACUGAAAAGAGAUGGUGUGCUGCCACCUACUGGAAUCGCUAGUGAAGCAAUACAUUUUAGUGAGGUUACAAACCUCACACACAUCAGUGGGGUAUCUUUGGAACCUUUGCUUGUUUGUUUGUUUUUUUGCUGGAAAAAUGAAUAAAUAAAUGUAUGCAUGAA